rnacentral:tRNA from 1 species
GGAGCCGUAGUUCAGUUUGGUUAGAACGCUAGCCUGUCACGCUAGAGGUCGCGAGUUCAAGUCUCGUCGGCUCCG